CCACUGUUGAGGAGUCCCACAAUAGGACGAAAUGGCCGUCCAGUGC
rnacentral:hammerhead_ribozyme from 1 species